rnacentral:rRNA from 1 species
GACAUUUGGUGGAGAAUGUUGAAGCCACCUGGUCCCAGAAGACCCCAGAAAAUGGCCACAUUCGCUGGUGCUGGAAAAAGGUCCUUAAGGGUGAAGCCUGGUGCCAGAUGUGU